GACGAACGCUGGCGGCGUGCUUAACACAUGCAAGUCGAACGCUGAAGCUCAGCUUUUGUUGGGUGGAUGAGCGGCGAACGGGUGAGUAACACGUGAGUAACCUGCCCCCUUCUUUGGGAUAACGCCCGGAAACGGGUGCUAAUACUGGAUAUUCACUGGUCUUCGCAUGGGGGUUGGUGGAAAGGGUUUUUCUGGUGGGGGAUGGGCUCGCGGCCUAUCAGCUUGUUGGUGGGGUGAUGGCCUACCAAGACUUUGACGGGUAGCCGGCCUGAGAGGGUGACCGGUCACAUUGGGACUGAGAUACGGCCCAGACUCCUACGGGAGGCAGCAGUGGGGAAUAUUGCACAAUGGGCGCAAGCCUGAUGCAGCGACGCCGCGUGAGGGAUGGAGGCCUUCGGGUUGUGAACCUCUUUCGCUCAUGGUCAAGCCGCAACAAUGGUUGUGGUGAGGGUAGUGGGUAAAGAAGCGCCGGCUAACUACGUG
rnacentral:rRNA from 1 species